rnacentral:rRNA from 1 species
GACACGACUCUCGACAAUGGAUAUCUCGGCUCUUGCAUCGAUGAAGAGCGCAGCGAAAUGCGAUACGUGGUGCGAAUUGCAGAAUCCCGCGAACCAUCGAGUCUUUGAACGCAAGUUGCGCCCGAGGCCAGCUGGUCAAGGGCACGUCCGCCUGGGCGUCAAGC